GAGUGAUGGGGUGACGCAGGAAGGUAGUCCAUCCCGGGCGGUGGUUGUCCCGGGGUAAGGGUGUAGGACGUCAGGUAGGUAAAUCCGCCUGGCUAUAGUCUGAGACCUGAUGCCGAGCCGAUUGUGGUGAAGUGGAUGAUCCUAUGCUGUCGAGAAAAGCCUCUAGCGAGUUUCAUGGCGGCCCGUACCCUAAACCGACUCAGGUGGUCAGGUAGAGAAUACCGAGGCGUUCGGGUGAACUAUGGUUAAGGAACUCGGCAAAAUGCCCCCGUAACUUCGGGAGAAGGGGGGCCAUGUCUGGUGAUGAGUCUUGCACUCUGAGCUGGGUGUGGCCGCAGAGACCAGCGAGAAGCGACUGUUUACUAAAAACACAGGUCCGUGCGAAGCCGUAAGGCGAUGUAUACGGACUGACGCCUGCCCGGUGCUGGAACGUUAAGGGGACCGGUUAGUCACAUUUCGGUGUGGCGAAGCUGAGAACUUAAGCGCCAGUAAACGGCGGUGGUAACUAUAACCAUCCUAAGGUAGCGAAAUUCCUUGUCGGGUAAGUUCCGACCUGCACGAAUGGCGUAACGACUUCUCGACUGUCUCAACCAUAGGCCCGGUGAAAUUGCAUUACGAGUAAAGAUGCUCGUUUCGCGCAGCAGGACGGAAAGACCCCGGGACCUUUACUACAGUUUGAUAUUGGUGUUCGGUUCGGCUUGUGUAGGAUAGGUGGGAGACUGUGAAGCAUGCACGCCAGUGUGUGUGGAGUCGUCGUUGAAAUACCACUCUGGUCGUGCUGGAUGUCUAACCUGGGUCCGUGAUCCGGAUCAGGGACAGUGUCUGAUGGGUAGUUUAACUGGGGCGGUUGCCUCCUAAAGAGUAACGGAGGCGCCCAAAGGUUCCCUCAGCCUGGUUGGUAAUCAGGUGUUGAGUGUAAGUGCACAAGGGAGCUUGACUGUGAGACCGACGGGUCGAGCAGGGACGAAAGUCGGGACUAGUGAUCCGGCGGUGGCUUGUGGAAGCGCCGUCGCUCAACGGAUAAAAGGUACCCCGGGGAUAACAGGCUGAUCUUCCCCAAGAGUCCAUAUCGACGGGAUGGUUUGGCACCUCGAUGUCGGCUCGUCGCAUCCUGGGGCUGGAGUCGGUCCCAAGGGUUGGGCUGUUCGCCCAUUAAAGCGGUACGCGAGCUGGGUUUAGAACGUCGUGAGACAGUUCGGUCCCUAUCCGCUGUGCGCGUAGGAAUAUUGAGAAGGGCUGUCCCUAGUACGAGAGGACCGGGACGGACGAACCUCUGGUGUGCCAGUUGUUCUGCCAAGGGCAUGGCUGGUUGGCUACGUUCGGGAGGGAUAACCGCUGAAAGCAUCUAAGCGGGAAGCCUGCUUCGAGAUGAGUAUUCCCACCUCCUUGAGAGGGUAAGGCUCCCAGUAGACGACUGGGUUGAUAGGCCGGAUAUGGAAGCCCUGUAAGGGGUGGAGUUGACCGGUACUAAUAGGCCGAGGGCUUGUCCUCAGUUG
rnacentral:rRNA from 1 species